rnacentral:rRNA from 1 species
GACGAACGCUGGCGGCGUGCUUAACACAUGCAAGUCGAACGGAAAGGCCCAGCUUGCUGUGUGCUCGAGUGGCGAACGGGUGAGUAACGCGUGGGUGAUCUGCCCCUAACUUCGGGAUAAGCUUGGGAAACUGGGUCUAAUACCGGAUAGGACAAUCGUUUAGUGUCUGUCGUGGAAAGUUUUUUCGGUUAGGGAUGAGCCCGCGGCCUAUCAGCUUGUUGGUGGGGUAAUGGCCUACCAAGGCGUCGACGGGUAGCCGGCCUGAGAGGGUGGCCGGCCACAUUGAGACUGAGAUGCGGCCCAGACUCCUACGGGAGGCAGCAGUGGGGAAUAGUGCACAAUGGGCGCGAGCCGGAUGCAGCGACGCCGCGUGGGGGAUGACGGCCUUCGGGUUGUAAACCUCUUUCGACAGGGACGAAGCUGUGGUGACGGUACCUGUAUAAGAAGCACCGGCUAACUACGUG